rnacentral:rRNA from 1 species
UGCGUAGGCGGUUUGGUAAGUCUUAUGUGAAAUCUACAGGCUCAACUUGUAGUCUGCAUGAGAAACUGCCGGGCUUGAGUAUGGGAGAGGUGAGUGGAAUUCCUGGUGUAGCGGUGAAAUGCGUAGAUAUCAGGAGGAACGCCUGUGGCGAAAGCGGCUCACUGGACCAUAACUGACGCUGAUGCACGAAAGCUAGGGGAGCAAACAGGAUUAGAUACCCUGGUAGUCCUAGCCCUAAACGAUGACUGCUUGGUGUGACGGGUGCCCAAUCCCGCCGUGCCCGUAGCUAACGCGUUAAGCAGUCCGCCUGGGGAGUACGGUCGCAAGGCUGAA